UAAAGAUCCGUCGGAUGGGGAUAGGCUCGCGUGACAUUAGCUAGACGGCGGGGUAACGGCCCACCGUGGCGACGAUGUCUAGGGGUUCUGAGAGGAAGGUCCCCCACACUGGAACUGAGACACGGUCCAGACUCCUACGGGAGGCAGCAGUGAGGAAUAUUGGUCAAUGGCCGGAAGGCUGAACCAGCCAUGCCGCGUGAAGGUCAGUGCCCUAUGGGCGUUAAACUUCUUUUGUGCGGGAGCAAUAAUGGUCACGUGUGGCCAGACGAGAGUACCGUACGAAUAAGCAUCGGCUAACUCCGUGCCAGCAGCCGCGGUAAUACGGGGGAUGCAAGCGUUAUCCGGAUUUAUUGGGUUUAAAGGGUGCGUAGGCUGUGAGGUAAGUCAGCGGUGAAAUGCCCCCGCUCAACGGGGUGAAGUGCCAUUGAUACUGCCUUGCUGGAAUGCGGAUGCCGUGGGAGGAAUGUGUGGUGUAGCGGUGAAAUGCAUAGAUAUCACACAGAACACCGAUUGCGAAGGCAUCUCACGAAUCCGCGAUUGACGCUGAUGCACGAAAGCGUGGGUAUCAAACAGGAUUAGAUACCCUGGUAGUCCACGCUGUAAACGAUGAUGACUAACCGUCGGCGAUACACAGUC
rnacentral:rRNA from 1 species